rnacentral:rRNA from 1 species
UAGGGAAUCUUCCACAAUGGACGCAAGUCUGAUGGAGCAACGCCGCGUGAGUGAAGAAGGUUUUCGGACCGUAAAGCUCUGUUGUUGGUGAAGAAGGAUAGAGGUAGUAACUGGCCUUUAUUUGACGGUAAUCAACCAGAAAGUCACGGCUAACUACGUGCCAGCAGCCGCGGUAAUCGUAGGUGGCAAGCGUUGUCCGGAUUUAUUGGGCGUAAAGCGAGCGCAGGCGGAAGAAUAAGUCUGAUGUGAAAGCCCUCGGCUUAACCGAGGAAUUGCAUCGGAAACU